AGAGUUUGAUCAUGGCUCAGAAUGAACGCUGGCGGCGUGCUUAACACAUGCAAGUCGUACGAGAACGCUCUAGCUUGCUAGAGCAAGUAAAGUGGCGCACGGGUGAGUAACGCGUGGGCAAUCUACCUUCGAAUUGGGGAUAACGUCGCGAAAGCGACGCUAAUACCGAAUAAUAUCCAUGAAUCCUCGGAUUUUUGGAUCAAGGGUGGCCUCUUCUUGAAAGCUACUGUUUGAAGAUGAGCCCGCGUACCAUUAGCUUGUUGGUGGGGUAAUGGCCUACCAAGGCGACGAUGGUUAGCUGGUCUGAGAGGAUGAUCAGCCACACUGGAACUGACACACGGUCCAGACUCCUACGGGAGGCAGCAGUGAGGAAUUUUGCGCAAUGGGGGAAACCCUGACGCAGCAACGCCGCGUGAGUGAUGAAGGCUUUCGGGUCGUAAAGCUCUGUCAAGUGGGGAAGAACCUAUGCAGUGUUAAUACCACUGUAUACUGACGGUACCACUGAAAGGAAGCACCGGCUAACUCCGUGCCAGCAGCCGCGGUAAUACGGGGGGUGCAAGCGUUAUUCGGAAUCAUUGGGCGUAAAGAGCACGUAGGCGGCUUGGUUAGUCAGAUGUGAAAGCCCGGGGCUUAACCCCGGAAGUGCAUUUGAUACUGCCAAGCUUGAGUAUGGGAGAGGGAAGUGGAAUUCCUGGUGUAGAGGUGAAAUUCGUAGAUAUCAGGAGGAACACCGGUGGCGAAGGCGACUUCCUGGACCAAUACUGACGCUGAGGUGCGAAGGCGUGGGUAGCAAACAGGAUUAGAUACCCUGGUAGUCCACGCAGUAAACGUUGAUCACUNNGGUGUAGCGGGUAUUGACCCCUGCUGUGCCGCAGUUAACGCAUUA
rnacentral:rRNA from 1 species